ensembl:lincRNA
AUGGCGCAGGGUACACGAACAGCUCCCGCACCGUCCCCUGAUCCCCUGAAGACUCGGAUCUCCGCUACUCCUGCCUGCAACCCUUGCCUUGGUUGGCUCCACGCGUUCCUCCGCCGCCCCGCCCCUUUCCGCUCCUUAUUGGCUUCCUCAGGACACGCGCGCAAAGGGGCGUGGAAGCGGCCGCGGCUGACCGGCCCAAGGCGCAGGGCCGCACGGCGGGGGCGGGGCCGAGCCGCAUGGGGGGAGCAGAGCGUAAGGGUCAGGCAGGUUGGGCGCAGGGCGGAGGGGCGGGGCCGUCGGGGGCGGGGUGUGGCCGGGCCGUCGAGGGCGGGGCCGGGCCGUCGGGGGCGGGGCGCGCCGCCGGAGCCGGGAAGCGCGCGGGGUGGCGGCGGGCUUGAGGUCGUAUGGACACCCUGGCGUUGGGCCGCUGGCGACGGCGGAGGGCGGAGGAGCUGCAGAAUCUGGGGGACGUGGGGCAUUUUAACCACACCAUGAAUCAUUAGAAGAUACAAGCUGGAGAAAAGGAAGAUUUAAAUUUUGGUUUUGAAUCCUUCCUGCGACAAUGAAUGUAAAUCUCUUACAGAUGGAUUUAGAUGCCCACCUGUUCAAAUAGCAGCCGGACGCACCCGGCUGGGGCCUGUUUGUUCUCUCCUUGGCGUAAUCCCACCUUCUCCACCCCAGAGCUGGGAAGAGCCGCGCCACGUCCAGAGGCCUGCAGAUUGCCAGUGCCCACCCACUGCAGCUCCUGUCACACACGUCCUGCUUGAGAAGAGCGUGAAGGAGAGCAAUUGCAUUGUUUUAGAGCUAAAAACAAUUCAGUAGCAAACUUCCUGUGAAGUUUGGGAACCUUUGGCUUAUGGAAUCAUAUCCAGAUGUAGUUCUGCUUUUAUACUUCUCAUUUAUUUUGUGGAUGUAUCUGGGGCUGUUUAGUACCCUUUUUAAAUGAAAGACUUAUUUUUAUAUUUAAAGUGCUCUUUCAUCUUAAACUGAAGUUUGCUAAGUGCUAGUAUCCAAUUUGUUCUGUAUAGGUCUUCAACUGAAGUUAGCAGACAUAGCACUCCUUUUAUUUUAAAAUGGCAAUUCUAAUUUUCUCAUGGGUUUUCAAUGUAUUGGCUGACUGUGGAGACAGACAUUAUUUUCCCUGGCUUUGAAAGCUUCAUGAGAUACCCUGCUCACAUAAUAGACAAGGACCUAGAGAAACUGGGAUUGUGGGAUUAAUCUCAAGUUCUUUAACCUUCCUAAAGCAGAGGGAAGACCGGAAACUUGUCCUUUCCAUAUUUUCAUUACGUUAUCCACCUGGGCCGUGUUCUCUGGCAGUGACCAACCCUCAGCAUUGACAUUUUGAAGAGCCCAAUCCAUAAAUAAUCAUGGUGUGUAGUCGUGGGAGGAAUUUCAUAUUGUAAAGAUGGAACGAAAUAAGACAAGUCGUUGAGAGGAAACCAGAACAGUGCCAUUUGUGGAGCGGCUUGCAUGAGUCACAGAGCAAGUUGCCGUGAACGCUGGAAGCAGGGCUGGCUUUCCCGCCCCCCUGCCUGGUUUGAGGUCACUGGGCCUUUGACCCUGAAUAAGGUCACAGAGCUGUGACUGAAUUGGGAAAGCUGGUCCAUGCCAGAAAAUCACGGCUGGCAGUGGGGAGGGGGUAUUUGGAUUUGUGACUUAAAAGUACAUAUUUUUAAAAUGCCUUAGCUUGCUCCUUUCCUUUCAAAAGGAGAUACACAUCAAUUUUUAUGGAAAAAAAUAAAACAGAUCCACAACAUGUUCAUUUUGUGUGUAAGUGCUUCCUUUUCCUACAAGUUCCCAAAGAGGGGUGAUGUUCACAUAUUUAUGCCUGGUUAUUUUGGUAGUUGAAGUAGCACACAAGUUUACCCAGCUAUUUAUACAAAUUAAAAGCUUUUUUGUAGAGAAGAAACCCCCAACGUAUCAUCCUGGCCCAGUGGAGAAAGCCCUGAAUUUUGAGUUGUAUAGACAGGUUCAGAUCUCACGUCUGCAACGCCGUGGUGACCUCUUUGGCUUCUUUCCUUGGCUGUGGAGUGAGGGUGCCACCAGGGGGUCAUUAAACCCAUGAGCAGGUGCAGAGAGACUCGACCAGUCAGGAUUCACGUCCUUUCCCUGCUUCACAGCCCCUCCAACGCUGAAGUGGGUGUUCUCUUGUGACAGGGCUGAGAGCAGGAAAGGUGCUAGCAGUGCAAAAUGGCAUGGAUGAGGUGAAGCAGUUAGUCUUAGCACAAACGCUAGAAUUCUUGGAUUGUAGAGAGAGGGGUUGACAUGACAAGCUUGUCACAGGACACUUGAAAGACAUGGCAUCAAAUUCUCGGUUUUUAGCGGGUCCAGUGCAGAGCCCUCUGUCUGUCCUGGCAGAGCCUUAUUCCCCAGGGGACUGGCUUGUUUAGGCUUGGUACCCCAUCUGGGGCCACCUGCUCCCCUCACCUGGCCAGCCCUCACCUGGCGGGCUGUCCCGGCAUCCCUCCUUGCAUUGGACAGUGGCAGCCAGCGCGCAGUUCUGCUCCCUCUGCAUUUGGUCAUCAUGGUGUAAUUCAGGGCCUUUUGGGCCCCACCUCCCGGCUUCCAGAAUGGCUUCUGCUCCCAGACCAGCCCCCUACUUUGGGAACCUGCGGCUGAAAAGGUAUGAGAGAAAUGACAUUUUGGUAGCAAAAUUUUCUUGUUUUGAGUGGCUUUCUUAUGAUUAUAAUAAUACUUGUUUCAUUAUAGAAGGAUGUGGAAAAUACAGGAAAACAAAAACAGUCACUGCCUCAGAUCACCCUGUAUUCUUCCUUCCAGAUGUGGGCCACUUUUUUGUUUUCAACUAGAUCUCAUCUAGCAGAUGUUCUCCCAAAUGAACAGUUCUAGGAAAACAUCUUUUUAAAAGCUACAUAGUAUCCCUCUUUGAAAUGGGCAGUCGUUUUGACAGCUCUCCCAAAAGCAACCCCAAAUCUGACCUCUUUGAGAAGACGCCUCUAGGUGGCACGUCGGAAACCUCAUUAUCUUUGGAAAGUGGAGGAAAGCCAGGGCGGUGGACUCAACAGACCUGCGCCGCAGUCACGUGUGCUGCCGCAGCUCCCUGGAACAGGACACCCUGAGCGGCCGGCCUUCACUGUCUGCGCACGGAAACCCAUUGCUCCCUGCCACAUUAAUUUGUCAGCACCACAGGUAUUAAACAGGUUAGCUAAUAACCCAGACCUGCAUAUAUUUCACUAAACUGGCUCUCAGCUCACCCAUGGAAAGUGUGAAAUGUGAUUAUCCCUUCAAAGAGCUUCAUCUUUGUUUUCCAGUCAAAAGGGGAGGAAUAAUACACUUUCUUACACCCUGAGGAAAUAGACUAGGCAUUUAUAUGUGUAUAAUUCCGUUAAGCAAAUUUUCAAUUUGUUUUUUAAUUAUAAUUUGUCAUUGUUUGCUUUUUGUGUAGGGGUAAAAAUGACAACAUACACUUUUUUAUGAUUUCACAAAAUAAGUUUAUAGCAGUUUCUAGUCCAACAAAUUAUGAAAGCUCAUUUCAGAAUAUUUGUAAUCAUGGCAAAUGGGUAACAAAGAUAUAUUAAAACUGUUGCAAAUGUCUUACCUCCUUGUAAAAUUUAUUUUCAAAUUUGUUUUGAAAACAUUUUAAAAAAUUAUACCUGAAAUCCGUAUUUGUUAAAACUAGGAAAUUGUGUUAAGUAAAAAUGAAAUAUAAAUAUAAAAUUCACCCAUAAUCCCAU